CCUACGGGCGGCAGCAGUGGGGGAUAUUGCACAAUGGGGGAAACCCUGAUGCAGCGACGCCGCGUGUGGGAAGACGGUCUUCUGGAUUGUAAACCACUGUCCCCAGGGACGAAAAUGACGGUACCUGGGGAGGAAGCUCCGGCUAACUACGUGCCAGCAGCCGCGGUAAUACGUAGGGAGCAAGCGUUGUCCGGAAUUACUGGGUGUAAAGGGAGCGUAGGCGGGGAUGCAAGUUGGGUGUCAAAACUACCGGCUCAACCGAUAGUCGCACUCAAAACUGCAACUCUUGAGUGAAGUAGAGGCAGGCGGAAUUCCUAGUGUAGCGGUGAAAUGCGUAGAUAUUAGGAGGAACACCAGUGGCGAAGGCGGCCUGCUGGGCUUUUACUGACGCUGAGGCUCGAAAGUGUGGGGAGCAAACAGGAUUAGAUACCCCUGGUGUC
rnacentral:rRNA from 1 species